CUUUUGUUGAACCACCGACCCAAACGGAGCAAACGCUUCAUCGGUCAAGGCUUGAGCAUAUAUUUUUUUAGCUUCCAUGUUUGUUAUAAAAUUUUUUAAAAGUUGAAACGUAAAUUCUUGAACGAUUACAAUAACCACUUUUAACUAGUCGUUUUGCAAAUGCACUGUAAAAUCACUAUUAUCUUUUGAAGUUGUCGAUGCUUAGU